rnacentral:rRNA from 1 species
CGAGUGGCGGACGGGUGAGUAAUGUCUGGGAAACUGCCCGAUGGAGGGGGAUAACUACUGGAAACGGUAGCUAAUACCGCAUAACGUCGCAAGACCAAAGAGGGGGACCUUCGGGCCUCUUGCCAUCGGAUGUGCCCAGAUGGGAUUAGCUAGUAGGUGGGGUAAAGGCUCACCUAGGCGACGAUCCCUAGCUGGUCUGAGAGGAUGACCAGCCACACUGGAACUGAGACACGGUCCAG